UGUUUUUUACAAAACAUGUCUUAAUGUUAAUUUUUAUUAAGUCUGGCCUGCUCAAUGAUUUCUUUAACAGGAUUAAAUAGCCGCAGUAUUUUGACUGUGCGAAGGUAGCAUAAUCAUUUGUCUUUUAAUUGGAGGCUUGUAUGAAUGGUUGGAUAAGAGAAUGACUUUCUUUACAUUAAAAGUUGAAUUUAAUAUUUUAGUUAAAAAGCUUAAAUUUUUAAAUGGGACGAGAAGACCCUAUAGAAUUUUACUUUGAGUUUUGUAAUUAUUGAUUUGGAUGAUCAAAUACUUACAUAUAGAGAAGUUUUGUUGGGGUGAUGAUGAGAUUAAUAUAACUCUCAUAUAUAAUUUUUUAUUAAUAGAUAUAUUAUAGAUCCUAUGUUAAGGAUAACUAGAUUAAAUUACCUUAGGGAUAACAGCGUAAUUUUUUUGGUGAGUUCAUAUCAAUAAAAAAGUUUGCGACCUCGAUGUUGGAUUAAAAUUAGAUUUAAGUGCAGAAGCUUAAGGUUCUAGGUCUGUUCGACCUUUAAAUUUUUACAUGACGGGUUUUUUAACCCGG
rnacentral:rRNA from 1 species